rnacentral:lncRNA from 1 species
GAUAAUAGGGAGAAAAGCAGCUUUGGAGUUCAUAAACAACCAAUAAAUCAGACAUGAUUAAUUUCCCUAUAACACAAUGCGGCAGAGAGAAAUUAAAAUUCAUGAAAAGACAAACUGCAGAAUUAUAUGUAAACACGGCACCAUAUAUAUUAAUUUUGCAGACCAAAGGCAAAUAAUACUUCAUUGGAAUCCCAAAAGAAUACUAGAGCACUGAUCUCUUUCUCUCACGAUAUAUACAACAACAGGCCGCCUACCCGGAGGGGUAGAGAGUUAGUUUUCGGGAGAUCCUCGGCUCAAAGAUAAAAGAUUCGUAGCAAUAAUAGAAAUCAGACAAAUAAUAUCAGUACCGUAGGAGACAACAAGUAAGUGAAUCUCUCUCGAUAUUUUUGAACUUUGCCUUCUUUUCCCUUCUUAUCACGGUGUAUACUUCAUCCGGUCUAUAAUAAGUGAUUUUUUGGUAUUUGGCAGAAAAUAUUAAUUCCUACAGAAAAAAGAUGUAUUCACUAAAUUACCCUUAAUUUGAAUUUGCAUAUUGUUACCUUUACACAUUAUAUGUAAAUAAGGGUAAAUUUUAGAAAAAUAUUAAUUCCUUCUUGAUUAUGUAAAAAGACACUUAUUUUGGACCAAAAUAAAAAGACCAAAAGAUCAUUUAUUGUGGACAAGAGGAAAUAUUAUUUUACAUUUACACAUGGAAUGCACAUAACAAAUUUAAAAAAAAUUAGCAAAAAUAAUUAAAACUUUAGAAUGACUUUGGGUAUUGAAAAAAUUGCGUACCAGGCAUGAAAUUAUUAAAAGGACUAGGGUAAGAAGGUAGUGGUUGUGUUAAAUUUGUUGUAAGUUGCUCUUGCUGGAAGCCAUUUGAGGAGCUUUCCCUAGCCAUAUUAGUGUAAUGAGUCUCAGUCUCAGGGCCUUGAUCAUAUAAUAUCCCUUUAAAUACAUGUCCUGCUAUUUUCACUGAUGUCUGAUAAGCAUAUUGAUCCACCACAUUGUCUACUGAACUUACUCGAACACAUCGAAAUACUGCUGGUAAACUCAAUUCUGUUGGUAGAUCUUCUUCUUUCCCACCUACAUUUGUAAUAUAUAUAGGGAAAAUAAGUAUACGGAUUGGAAGUAUUUUGUAUAGGUAAGAUUUGCGUAUACAUUACCCUCUCCAGAGCCCACUUGUGGGAUUUUACUGGAUUUGUUGCUGUUGUUGUUUGUUACUAAUAAUCUCAUUAUUUAUGUGGACGGUUCCUGUAUGUAGUCAUCUUUUAAGUGAUCUGAAAGCGCAUAGAAGUUACAAUCUUUUCGGGGUCUUUUGCUGAGUUGAGGGGUGCAAUAUGGUUCAUCCAUCUAUGUUCAGCAUAUACCAUUAGUUAAGUGAGAAAAAAAAACAAUAGCAGUAAAUAUUAAUAAUAAUAAUUAUGGUACUACUGAAUGUCAAAGUGAGCUAUACUAUUACUAUGACUAGGGUUUGAUGGUGUCUGCAAAUAGAUAAGUAAUAGACAUAAAAAGGGUAAGCAUAUUGGCAAAAAUGGUGGUGAGAUCUCAGAAGGUGAACUUUGGUGUAAUCGAUAAAGUCGCUGUACCAGGAGGUCACGGGUUCGAGUCGUGAAAAUAACCUCUUGCAGAAAUACAGGUAAAACUGCGUACAAUAGACCUUUGCGAUCCGGUCCGUCCCCAGACCCCGCGCAUAGCGGGAGCUUAGUGCACCAGUUGAGAUCUCUUAGUACAGUGCAAUCAAGAUUGUGUUUGAGGACAACAGUAGAUCAAUUAAGAUGAAGUACCUGCAGCAAGAUUAUUAUCAUUUUCUCUGUAUCUUUUAGGGUUUGCUUGAAGCUGCUUCUGCUGCUGCUGUUGUUGUUGAAUAGUAUGAAGAAGGUGGUGCCUUGGACGUCUUCUAGAGACAGGGAUCCAAGUGCUUUUGACAUGGGUUUGACACUGAAACCCUCGGCUUUUACAGCAAGUUCUGC